rnacentral:rRNA from 1 species
UACAGAGGGUGCAAACGUUGCUCGGAAUUAUUGGGCGUAAAGCGCGUGUAGGCGGCUUGUUAAGUCGGUUGUGAAAACCCAUGGCUCAACCAUGGAAGUGCGUCCGAAACUGGCAAGCUAGAGUCCUGACGAGGAUGGCGGAAUUCCCAGUGUAGAGGUGAAAUUCGUAGAUAUUGGGAGGAACACCGGUGGCGAAGGCGGCCAUCUGGGAAGGUACUGACGCUGAGACGCGAAAGCGUGGGGAGCAAACAGG